GACGUCGGGUCUGAACUGACGUCGCCGUCUGAAGCUCCGCCGCACGUUUCACACUAACUCCCCCUAAAUUUGCACAUGCUAGCCACGAAGAGGCAACUUCACGUGGGCAAGUGACUUUCCAAACAUCCCCUUGCCUGGCCUAUCACUAAUCUACCCUACAACGCUUUCCCCAAAAUCCUUUUUUUACAUAUACGGCUUUCAAGCCGGUACGAGGAGACAGUUUUGAGCCGUCUCCUGUCUCGUUGCUUCGCUGUUUUUCAAGAAACCUUUCUCUCUACAAAAAUCCCAGGCUUCAUGUUUACCUUUCCAUUGCUCACAGACCGGCAUAGAAGACUCUGUGGUUGACUUUCUGAAAAGGUCAGUCCUUCUUGGCCUUUUCUGCAGUUCCUGGAACACUGCUCUCAAAAAAUUCAAGCUGAUAGUGGGGAACCAAAAGAGCAGCCAAAGCCUCAGGAUUCCCAGUGACGAGCAGCAGCAAUGAGACUUUAUUUUGGGGAGGAAACAGAAGAAUUUUAUUUGGGGAAGGAAUUUGAAAAAAAGUCACAUAGAAUAUAAGCCAACAUCUUCGUGAAAAUCUGGUUAUAGCUAACUGCCCAGGAUGAAGGGCGCAUAGGUUAAAGGAACUGACUCCUCUCUACCAGAUCCAGCUAAUUUUUUUCCUUUGACACACAACCACUACUCCCUAGGCCACACUUCUCCCGAAAAACUGCUUCCCUCAAAAGCAGAGCAAACUGCUUUUUUUCUGAGAUAAGCACUGCAAUAUGUUUGGACUAAAAAACUUUGCUCAUCAGAGCGGAUGUGACUGGAGUUAACACCUUACCCAGGCUGAGUCAACUUAUUGGUUGGCCAGAUGUCUGCUGUGUACUCUGAAGUAAGAAUUCCAUAGAAGAAACACAGAAUCUCAGGGAGAUGAGAUUAAUUCUGCUCCCUUUGGGUGUCGGCUGGAUUUAGCAACUCUUAACUAAUGAAUGGCGGCAACGAUGAAUGACAUCAAGCGGUCAUGUUUUAAGCAACCCUACUGUGGGGCUCGUGUGGUGGGUACUGGAACCUCCGGUGAGGAGUGGAGGCCUGCCAAUAAUCGCAGUAGUAAGGUGGGAUCAGAUUUCCCAUCCCUUGCUGAACUUCAAGGAGAUUAUAGCAUCGGUAGAGAACUCAACUGAAGACUUGUAAAAGACUGCGAGCCACAGCAACCCACACAAGACCCUCCUAGAUUCUUGACCUACAGAAAUUGUGUGAGGCAAUCCAUGUUAACGGUUGCAAGAUGCUAAG